UGUGUCGUGAAAAAGUAUGGUAUUACCACGGACGGGACAACGGGUUCUCAUUGAUGGUGAUGCUGUACUUUUUCACUGUACCUUUUCAAUGUGGAGAUACACCAACACUGCCCACGUGUUACAGCUGCCUGCCAUGCUCAGUGCAGCCACGUGCUGCACAGGUGUGUAGCCCAGGAGCAACAGGCUCCACCACACGGCCUAGGUUUGUAAGUGCACCCUGCGAAGGUCACACAACAACAAAAUCACCUGACCGCGCAUUUCUCAGAACGCAUCCCUGUCAUUAAGCCACGUGUGACUGUUGACACAUUCGUGUAUCAUUACCUCAGCCUCCAAAUCCAUCACCACACUCCCAAGUCACUGGGGUCAUCCGCUUGAGGCCACCCUGGUCGAGAUGGCCCUAGCAAGUCUGCGUCUCACCCCGCGUCCAGUACCACAGGGAGCAGGAAGCCGGGGGGCCCAGGAAAGAAGCUGGAGCUGCUUUUUCUCCCAACUCACAGAGCUCAGCUGCACUAGACCCGGGGAGGGGCCAGCAAGUGGGAGAGAAGACUGAAGUGUCCACACAGAUCCUAUGCAGCCGUGAGAAGGAACGAAACCAGGUCCUUUGCAGCAACACGGGUGCAGCUGGAGGCGGCCGUGAUCCUAUACCGACUCACACAGGAAGAGAAAACCAAAGACCUCAUGGUGUCACUGCAGUGCCAGCUGAACACUGGGCACUCACGGACACAAAGAUGGCACCAGCAGAAACUGGGGACUACUAGACAGGGGAGGGAGGGAAGGAGGCGGCAAGGGCUGAAAUAUGAACUGUUGGGGACUAUGUUCACACCUCGGUGACGGGAUCAGUCAUACCCCAAACCUCAAUCUCACACAAUAUACCCAAGCCUGCACAUGUACCCCUGAUACUUAAGAAAAAAUCCCAAGUGUUCAACUGGACUAUGCUGGACUAAACUUUUAAUAAUGGAAAGUCACUUAAAACCCAUGAGAUCUGUUUUUAAAUGUUAUUAGGAGACACACCUGGUAGAAUGUGGCAAUUGGAAAAAACAUAUACAAUCUUUUAAAAGUAAUUCAAAUCAAUAGUCUUAAAUAGUGGCACAAAAGAAUGAUUGUACCAGUUGUAAACAGCUACUGAAUAUGAGCAUCACUGAAAGUGCCGGAUUUUGUGGUUUUGUUGUUCCAAAAUAUAAUCUAUACAUUUCCUUCAAGAAAAGCAGAAAAACAGAGAAAACAAAAUAUUGACUUCCUGUUAAAAGUUAUCCCUAGAAACAACGGCAUUAUAUUAUACCUGUUUACAUGUGUGUGGAAAAAUAGAGAUGCUUCUCUUAAGCAGG
rnacentral:lncRNA from 10 species